AAAGCCACCGGGGCUAUUUACUUUCAUUUUGAGCAUAAUUAUCCCGAUAUCAUAUCUUGAUAGCGAAGUUUAUCCCAAUCCAAAAUGAUUCCACUGUAAAAAACAGCCCAAUGGUGAAGCCCACAUUUUAAAAUGCCAGAUCUAAAAAUUGAGCCAAGCCCAAUAUUCCGAUCUUUCCCCAACCUCUUUGACCGCCAGAGUCUCUGUAGGGUUUUACAAUAUAAAUUAGCUGCAGAGCCCUAGAAUAAUAAUCGUUUCCCAUUAUCUGCGCAGCCUCUACAGAACAAUUAGGGUUUUGGAUUUGAGUAGCUGAGUUCGGUAACCUGUCACCAUGAGAGCCAAGUGGAAGAAGAAGCGUAUGAGAAGAUUGAAGAGGAAGCGCCGAAAGAUGAGACAGAGAUCUAAGUAGUCUUCUCUAUUGCGGCUUCGUUUUGUGGCAACUCUUGGUUUACUUUUUUUCUUGUUUGAGUGGAUUAAGUAGAGAUAUCUGCGUUUGAUUUUAUGCUUUGAAACAUUCUGUUGAAUCAAGUGAAACUUUUAAUGGGAUUAUGUGUUGCUUAUU